rnacentral:rRNA from 1 species
UGGGGAAUUUUGCACAAUGGGGGAAACCCUGAUGCAGCGACGCCGCGUGAUUUAGAAGGCCUUCGGGUUGUAAAAAUCUUUUCUAUGGGAAGAAAAUGACAGUACCAUAGGAAUAAGGACCGGCUAAUUACGUGCCAGCAGCCGCGGUAAUGCGUAAGGUCCGAGCGUUGUCCGGAAUCAUUGGGCGUAAAGGGUACGUAGGCGGGUAAGCAAGUUAGAAGUGAAAUCCUAUAGCUAAACUAUAGUAAGCUUUUAAAACUGCUCAUCUUGAGGUAUGGAAGGGAAAGUGGAAUUCCUGGUGUGGCGGUGAAAGGCGCAGAUAUUAGGCGGAAAACCGGGGGCGAAGGAGACUUUCUGGCCAUAACCGGACGCUGUGGUACGAAAGCGUGGGUAGCAAACAGG